rnacentral:rRNA from 1 species
CCUACGGGAGGCAGCAGUGGGGAAUUUUGGACAAUGGGCGCAAGCCUGAUCCAGCCAUGCCGCGUGCAGGAUGAAGGCCUUCGGGUUGUAAACUGCUUUUGUACGGAACGAAAAGACUCUGGUUAAUACCUGGGGUUCAUGACGGUACCGUAAGAAUAAGCACCGGCUAACUACGUGCCAGCAGCCGCGGUAAUACGUAGGGUGCGAGCGUUAAUCGGAAUUACUGGGCGUAAAGCGUGCGCAGGCGGUUAUAUAAGACAGAUGUGAAAUCCCCGGGCUCAACCUGGGAACUGCAUUUGUGACUGUAUAGCUAGAGUACGGUAGAGGGGGAUGGAAUUCCGCGUGUAGCAGUGAAAUGCGUAGAUAUGCGGAGGAACACCGAUGGCGAAGGCAAUCCCCUGGACCUGUACUGACGCUCAUGCACGAAAGCGUGGGGAGCAAACAGGAUUAGAUACCCUGGUAGUCCACGCCCUAAACGAUGUCAACUGGUUGUUGGGUCUUCACUGACUCAGUAACGAAGCUAACGCGUGAAGUUGACCGCCUGGGGAGUAACGGCCGCGAAGGUUGAAACUUCAAAGGAAUUGACGG